UACGUAGGGUCCGAGCGUUGUCCGGAAUUACUGGGCGUAAAGAGCUCGUAGGUGGUUUGUCGCGUUGUUCGUGAAAACUCACAGCUCAACUGUGGGCGUGCGGGCGAUACGGGCAGACUUGAGUACUGCAGGGGAGACUGGAAUUCCUGGUGUAGCGGUGAAAUGCGCAGAUAUCAGGAGGAACACCGGUGGCGAAGGCGGCAUCCUGGACCAAUAUUGACGCUGAGGAGCGAAAGCUAGGGGAGCAAACGGG
rnacentral:rRNA from 1 species